rnacentral:misc_RNA from 1 species
UUAAAGGUUUAAACUAGAUAAGUUAGAUUUUAAAGGAAAUCAAUUUACAUCAGUUUUUUUUCAGCAUUGUCAUCAAUCAAUCCAUCAACUAGUUUAACAGAAAUUCAGUUAAAGAAACCUAGUUUUAUGUGUUCUGCUUGUAUGAUGUCGUUUACAAGAAAAGAUAACAUGAAAAGACAUGCAUUACAGGCACAUAAAACCAUUUUUAGAGAUAAUCAAUCCAAAGAUAAAAGAACGCCAUGUCAUUAUCAAAACUGCAGCCAAGUAUUUUUUCAAAACGUCAAACUUAUUAAACACAUAGAGGAUUGUCAUGAAGGUAUAUUUACCAAAGAAUCUUACAUUUUUUUAUCAGAAUCUGAAAAAGAGGAACUUAAUAGUUAUGUUUUUUUCAGUAAACAAACUGGUAGUUUUUUCACUGGAAAAAAUAUAAAUAAAGAUGUAAAAACAAGUUAUUAUAUUUGUCAAAAUGAUGGUCAUUCAAAACCGCAUCGCUCUGUUAGUGAACCAGCAAGAAAAACUAAUAAAAGGUACUACAGAGGGAGUGUUAAAUCAGGUGCUUUCUGCCCUGCCAGGAUGAUUGUCAAAGUAAACAUAAAUGGUGUCACUAAUGUUCAGUAUAUCAAAACUCAUAACCACAGUAUUGGUAUUACAAAUACCAUGUAUCAACCUAUACCAGGUAAUAUUAAAAAAAACAUUUCCGCUAAAUUAUCAAUAGGUGUGCCUGUAAAUACAGUUUAUCGUGAUCUUAGAGAAAGUUUUGGAGACAGACAAAAUAGAAAUGAUGAAGAUACUGUUUUAACUAAAUCACAUCUUCUUACAAAAAAUAACAUUUCUGAUAUCAGCAGAGCAGUAAAAAAAGGAUGUCGGCUUCACCCUGAUGAUAGCGUUUCAACUUUUUUACUUGUUCAAAAGUUGAAGUCUGAAGAUUUUAAUAGUAUUCUUGUUUAUAAGUCACAAGGACAGCAAACUGUUAUUGGCCCAAAGGUGUAUGAUGACAUUGACCUUAAUAAGGAUUCCUUUGUGGUUGGUAUACAAACAAAGCAUCAACUAUCAAUGUUUGAAACACAUUCAUCUCAAAUUGUUUGUAUUGAUGCUACACAUUGUACCAAUCAGUAUGCAUUCCCUCUUGUAACUUUACUAUUUCGAGAUGAAUUUAAAAGGGGUUAUCCAGUAGCUUUUCUUAUUUCCAAUCAUGCAGAUGAACAAACCAUAACACCAUUUUUAAAGGAAAUAAAAAGAAGAUGCAAUAAUUCUGUAAAAGUUAAUGCUGUUAUGACAGAUGAUGAUUUGUCAGGAUGGAAUGCUUUUACUAAUGUUUUUGGAGAUGUGCGCCACUUGCUAUGCAAAUGGCAUAAAAAACGUGAAUGGCGCAAUAAACUUCCUUUAGUUGGUCCAACUAAUUUACAAGAAGAAUUUUAUAGGAUCUUAGAGACAAUCAUUGACGAAAAAAACCCUGAUGUUUUUUUAUCAACUAUGAAUGGUUUUGUAAAGGCAUAUGAACAUAAAUGUCCUAACUUCAUUAGUUACUUUGUUACAUACUAAGCUCCACGACAUCUAAAAUGGACUUCUUGUUAUCGCAACUUUCAACAUGCAGACACUGAUACUAAUAUGUUAUGUGAAUUAUUUCAUAACACAUUAAAAACAGUUUAUAUGGAAAGACGACCUAGUAAAAGGUUAGACGAUUUAAUUAAUUUACUUUUAACAAUCGAAGAAAAUAGUUAUUGGCACCACAAAAGAGACACUAUUUAUCUUGGAACAAUAUCUCUCCCAAAAUAGUAUAAAAAAAGACAUGAAAAAGGAAUGUUGAUUUUGAUAAAUGUAUUAGUAAAUGUUCAUUAACUCAGUACACAGUUAAAAGUCAAUCAAAAGAUGUAACAUACAAUGUUGACAUUCUAACUGAAGCUUGUUAGGAAAGUUUGUGUUUGGAGUCAUGUAUAAAUCCAGCCUGUAAUGGUUUGUGUAAGCAUUUAUAUAGGUGUAGUUGUAAUGACAUUGUAAUCCUUUACAAGCAUGUUCAUAAGUUACAAUCAUUUCUUCUGAGAUCUCAAGAAAAAAACUGCCCAAAAGAAUCUUUAGCUGUUGGUACAGGUAAUAAUCAAGUGAAGCAAAAAUCUCAAACAUUUAUUAAUGAGUCUGAAAGGUUUCAAAAAAAUAUUGAUGAACUAUCUACAUUAUUUUCUCAUCUCAUGAUAAUAAAUUUGCAACUUCCUUCAAUAAACAGACAACUGGAAGACAUGAUUAGACAAGCUGAAGCCAUCAAAAAUAUUAAUUUAAUUGAGAUACCUACAGAGCCAACAUCACACAAUAACCUUUUAAAUUUGAACCAAAUAAGAAGUUGGAUAAUCAAUGGCAGCCUAAUAAAUUUAAGAGAACUAGAAAAGGAAAUAGAAAAAAGGAAAUAAAAUCAUAUCAAUAUCCUGCACAAAACCAAAAAGAGGAGAUAGUUCUGAAAUUGUCUCAGCAACAUGUUGAUCUAAUUCAUGAUAAGCAAAAUACAAGAGUAUGCGAUAACAUUGAACCAAGUGAUUUCACUAACACUCUCAUUACGCAUGGCGCUCACCAACUAUCUUUUAUUUCCCUUUUAACAUUAGAAAACAUUAUACCAUCUGACGUUUUGUUUAAUUUAAAAAAAAGCACUCCAAGUUUUCAAAAAGGCUGGCUUCAAGAUGAAGUAAUAGGAGGUUUUCUGCAUUGCUUAGAAAAAAGGUACCCUUUAAUUAAAUAUUUAGGUCCAACUGAAGCAUUAGCUUUCAGCUGUUCAAGAAGUUUAAGGCUUUUAUGGAAAGAUAUUGAUACUAAAGUUAUAGAACAAGUUUUUAUUCAUUUUAACCCAACUAAUUCUCAUUAGAUUUUAAUACAUCUAAAAGUUAUAACAAAAGAAGUAACUCUACUUGAUCCACUCCAUUGCAUUAUUAUGCCAAAUAAUUUAUCACACAAUAAAUCCAUUGCUGUUGCUAAAGACCUUUUUAGACUAAAAUUUAACAUUUUAAACCCAACUGUUAUUUCAGCCCCAAGUCAUUGUUUACAGAAGGAUAGUUACAACUGCGGUGUUUACGUAUGCUAUUAUGCAUUACAUAUUUGUGAAGGUAUCCCUAUUUUUCAAUAAUAUAUUGUAUAAUAUAUAUUCAUAUGUUAGUAUUUUUUUUAGUUGUCAAUUUUGCAACUACUUUUUUGUUAUGUUGCUUAUAAUUAAUUCAU